ACCAGACAAAAUAGCACAAUGCUGUUAUUUAAUAUGCCUUAACUGUUCUUUGAGCUCUUUGUUUAGUUUGUUAGUUACAUCUUUUCUGUUCCUUUCCAGUUUUAGAAACGCACCUGUGAAUGCUGUGCCUCUCUGCUGCAUCUCAGAUAAUGGUCAGUGAUACUGAAAGAAAUACAUUCAGGAGAAAGAAAGCAUGGACUGCUGAGAGAGAAUUCAGAGUUUAA
rnacentral:lncRNA from 1 species